rnacentral:rRNA from 1 species
GGAGGGCAUCCUUCCGGGAUUAGAGGAGCGAUCCGGCUGCGGAUGGUCAUGCGGCGCAUUAGCUUGUUGGCGGGGUAACGGCCCACCAAGGCGACGAUGCGUAGGGGUUCUGAGAGGAAGGUCCCCCACACUGGUACUGAGACACGGACCAGACUCCUACGGGAGGCAGCAGUGAGGAAUAUUGGUCAAUGGCCGGGAGGCUGAACCAGCCAAGUCGCGUGAGGGAAGACGGCCCUACGGGUUGUAAACCUCUUUUGCCGGGGAGCAAAGGGCGGGAUGUGUCCCGCGUCGAGAGUACCCGGAGAAAAAGCAUCGGCUAACUCCGUGCCAGCAGCCGCGGUAAUACGGAGGAUGCGAGCGUUAUCCGGAUUUAUUGGGUUUAAAGGGUGCGCAGGCGGGAUGUCAAGUCAGCGGUAAAAUCGGGAGGCUCAACCUCUCUCAGCCGUUGAAACUGGCGUUCUUGAGUGGGCGAGAAGUAUGCGGAAUGCGUGGUGUAGCGGUGAAAUGCAUAGAUAUCACGCAGAACCCCGAUUGCGAAGGCAGCAUACCGGCGCCCGACUGACGCUCAUGCACGAAAGCGUGGGUAUCGAACAGGAUUAGAUACCCUGGUAGUCCACGCAGUAAACGAUGAAUACACGCUGUGCGGC